rnacentral:ncRNA from 1 species
AUAUAAGCGAUGACAGGAAUCAGUAGGUAUAGUUACUUUUUUCAGAGAGUGCAUGGUCGGUGAGAAUGCACAUUAGCCUAUGCUGAACACAUCUUCGAGCUGAUUGAUGAACCCCUUCGGGCAGUAGUUUAAUCCGGGCACUCGCACCCGUUACAGUGCAAAAGUAUGAAUGUACUUUAUGAGUUUGAUGUCGUGAGGCAUCAAUAAAAAGAGGUGGAACCACGUGACUAAUACUCCCGUCCUCUGG